rnacentral:rRNA from 1 species
UUUUAUAGCCAUGCCACUCUGAACACGCUCGAUCUCAUCUGAUCUCGGAAGCUAAGCAGGGUCGGGCCUGGUUAGUACUUGGAUGGGAGACCACCUAGAAAGACCAGGUGCUGUAGGUG